GACCUACGGGGGGCAGCAGUAGGGAAUCUUCCACAAUGGGCGAAAGCCUGAUGGAGCAACGCCGCGUGGGUGAAGAAGGUCUUCGGAUCGUAAAACCCUGUUGUUAGAGAAGAAAGUGCGUGAGAGUAACUGUUCACGUUUCGACGGUAUCUAACCAGAAAGCCACGGCUAACUACGUGCCAGCAGCCGCGGUAAUACGUAGGUGGCAAGCGUUAUCCGGGUUUAUUGGGCGUAAAGAGAGCGCAGGCGGGCUUUUAAGUCUUAUGGGAAA
rnacentral:rRNA from 1 species